UACGAAGGGGGCUAGCGUUGCUCGGAAUCACUGGGCGUAAAGCGCACGUAGGCGGCUUCUUAAGUCAGGGGUGAAAUCCUGGAGCUCAACUCCAGAACUGCCUUUGAUACUGAGAAGCUUGAGUCCGGGAGAGGUGAGUGGAGCUGCGAGUGUAGAGGUGAAAUUCGUAGAUAUUCGGAGGAACACCAGUGGCGAAGGCGGCUCACUGGUCCGGUACUGACGCUGAGGUGCGAAAGCGUGGGGAGCAAACAGG
rnacentral:rRNA from 1 species